UGGAUUUCUUUUAAAUAUGAGAAGUUACCGAUUUUUUGUUUUAGAUGUGGAAGAAUGGGGCAUAGCAUUAAUGAUUGUCUUGUGCAAGAUCCUGCAGAAAUAAAUAAAAUUAGAGAUGAUCCACAAUAUACUUUAGCACUAAAAGCUGAAUCAAAUUUAAUUGGAAAGGAGAGUAUAAAAUUAAAUGCUUUCUCAAGGAAGAUGGGGGUUCAAUGCUCUUAUACAGGAAACAUGGAAAUAAAGCACAAUAGAAUUAAUAAAUCUGUUGAAGGAAAUACGUAUAGGGGACCCAAAGAUAUACUUCAAGUGAUGGGUUGGAGGCAGUAUUAAAGAAUCAGGAGGAAGGCUCUACUAUGAUGCAAACUGGUGAGAAGAAUGGAAUAUCCAAUGAGCUGGGGCAAAAUUCAACUUUAAUGAAAAAAUCAAGCUGGAGGAGAAUAGCUCCAGGGAUUUUGAUAGAUAAAUGAAAGGAUGAAAGCAUUAUGGGGAAGUUAAAAUUUCCCAAAUUUGAUGAAGGAGAUAACUUCACAAAAUUUUCAUAUGAAGAUGAAGAAAAAAGAUUAAAACAAGAAGGAAUAAUUGACUGAGCAGAAGUUCCUAUAGGUAUGAUGAAUGAAAAUUCAGAACAAAAUGAUGUUCCCAACAGUUUUGGAUCGGCGGCUGCCAAAUGGCAAGCCGACCGGGCGCAAUGAAAAACAUAUAUUGGAAUGUCCGUGGGUUAGGGAGUCCACGGUCGGUACAGAGGCUGCGACAUUUGUUAAAGCAGCAUAAUCCCCAUAUGGUCUUCUUAAUGGAGACUAAAAUUGAUAAAAAAAAUGUAUAGAACAGGUUAGAAGGAGUUGUAGAUUUAUGAAUUGGGAUUGACAUUGAAGCUGAAGGGUCUCGUGGUGGACUGUAUUUAACAUGGAAAGGUGAUAUCACGAUUAAUUUGAGAAGUUUAUCCAAAAACCACAUUAAUGUAAUGAUAAAAGAGGAUUCUAUUAAAGAAUAUUGGCGGUCUACGGGGUUUUAUGGUUCACUUUAUUCGAACAAGAAGAAUUUUUCAUGGAAUCUACUAAGAAAAUUGGGUCAAGAACAAAACCAUCUUUGGCUAGUAAGUGGUGAUUUUAACGAGAUUAUGUACUCCUUUGAAAAAAGGGGAGGAAUUCAAAGGGAGCAGAGGAGAAUGGAAGCCUUUCAAGAGGUUUUAGAGGAAUGCCAGCUGACGGAUAUAGGUUACUCGGGGGUUUGGUUCACAUGAGAAAGGGGGAACUUGACAAAAAACAAACAUAAAAGAGAGACUUGAUAGGGUAGUUGCAAACGAAAAAUGGAUUAAGUUGUCUCCAUUAGGAAGUAUUCAACAUCUACCUUAUUCAAUGUCAGAUUAUUGUCCUCUCUUUUUAAAUACAAACAAUGGAAUCAUGUAUACAAGGAGUCCAAAAAUUAAAUUUAAGGCGUGGUGGACCAUGGCGGAGACUUUUGAACAAGAAGUAAAGCUUUAAUGGGAAUCAUCAACAGACAUGUUAAUAGAGAAAAUUGAAAAUUUGCAGUUUUUUUGAAGAGAUAGGCAAACACAAUCAAAAGAUGCAGAGAGGGACUAAAAAGAAAGUUAACCAAGGAACUCACAAUUCUGUUAGAAAAAGAAAAGGAUGAUAAAACAAUGGCUAAAAUUAUUGAUACUAAAAUUCAUCUUAAUAUGGAGAUUGAUAAAGAUGAAAUGUACUGGGAACAAAGGGUAAAAGCAAAUUGGCUUCGGCUUGGGGAUAAAAAUUCAACCUUUUUUCACAAAUGCGCCUCAAUUCGUAGAUGAUCUAACAUGAUUUACAGGCUGGAAUUGGAUGAAGGAAAGGAAAUUACUGACGAUUCAGAGAUUAAAAAGGCUGCUACUUCAUUCUUUCAGGAGCUUUUUACAACAAAUGGAGUUGAAGACCCAUCUCAUGUUCUUAUGGGCAUUGAAAAAAAAAUUUCUACCUAGUUGAAUUCAGCUUUAUUAUAUCCUUUUACGGUAAAAGAAGUUCUGACAGCUUUAAGAGGAAUGGGGCCUACAAAAGCACUAGGACCUGAUGGCUUCCCAGCAUUAAUUUUUCAAAGAUACCGGCACAUGAUAGGUAAAGAUGUUGAAAAUUUUUGCUUAGGCAUCUUGAAUAGGGACUAGAAUUUCGACUCUUUUAAUAUGACAGAUAUAGUGCUUAUUCCAAAAGUCCAAAGUCCCACAAAAUUAGUUAGCUUUAGACCUAUUAAUUUGUGCAAGGUCAUUAUAAAAUUGUAGCAAAAACAGUAGCAAAUCGUUUACAAGAAGUUAUUGGCAGCUGCAUUGAUAAAGCACAAAACGCUUUUGUACCAGGGAGACUUAUUUCUGAUAAUGUGCUUUUAGCAUACGAAAUUCUACACAUGUUUCGACAAAAGCGGACGGGGAAAAAGGAUAUAUGGCAGUGAAGCUAAAUAUAAGUAAAGCUUAUGAUAGAGUUGAGUGAGAUUUUUUAAAGAAAGUAAUGUUACAGAUGGGCUUCGCAAAGGAAUGGGUGGGAUUAAUUAUGAAAUGCAUUACCAGUCUCUUAUGUAGUAAAUAUCAACAGAAGGAGGGGAGGAACUUUUCAACCUACUAGGGGGCUUAGACAAGGCGAUCCCCUUAGUCCAUUUUUUUUUCUAAUAUGCAGCGAGGGAUUUUCAUCAUUGAUGAGAUUAGCAAUGGGAGAGGGUUUGAUAAAAGGUGCAAAAGCAAGCAGAAGAGGGCCAUAGAUAUCUCACUUACUUUUUGCGGAUGAUUGCAUUUUGUUUGGUGAAGCAACAAUCAGGGGUUCGACAAUUUUGAAGGGGAUACUCAAGGAAUAUGAAAGUUGUUCAGGCAGUGUGUGAACUUUAAUAAAUCAAUGAUCUUCUACAGCUCAAAUACAACAGAAAAUAAAAAAGAAGUCUCGAAACGGCUAGGAAUAGGAAGCUCAACAAAUCUUGAAAAAUAUUUGGGUCUCCCUAAUGUUGUAGGUAGACGAAAAAAAGAAUCUUUUCAGAAUUUAAAAGAAAGGGUCUUUGUGCAAAUUGAAAACUGGAGCACUAGGUUUCCAUCGCAAAAAGGAAAUGAGGUCUUCAUUAAAUCAAUACUACAGGCAAUACCUACUUAUGCUAUGUCUUGCUUUCUUCUACCAAAUUCAUUAUGUGGAGAGAUUGAAAAUAUUUGUGCUAGAUUUUGGUGGCAAAAAGGCCAUGGGAAAAGAGGAAUACAUUGGUGCCAGUGGAAACAUUUGUGUCGCCCUAAAGAGGAAUGUGGAAUGGGGUUUAGGAGUAUGACCCAAUUUAAUAUCGCAUUACUAGCAAAACAAGGAUGGAGAUUCAUAAAUUACCCAAAUUCUUUAGUUGCGCAAGUAUUUAAAGCAAAAUAUUUUCCAGAAGAUGUUUUUUUAAACUCGCGAUUAGGAAAUAACAACUCUUUUGUAUGGAGGAGUAUAUGGGCGACUAAGGGUAUUUUGGAAGAAGGAUGUUGCUGGAAGGUAGGUUCGAGCCCGAGCAUUUUAGUUAUUAAUGACAAUUGGAUUCCAGAUUCAAGAAAUUUUAGACUAUCAUCAAGUAAUUUUAAUUUGCCAGAUUUUAAAGUUGCUGAGUUAAUUGAUUCUAAUAAAAGGAAAUGGAAGAGAGAGCUGAUUGUCAAUACCUUAACAGAAGUAGAAGCUGGAAAGAUCCUUAGCAUCCUGUUGGUGAAAGAACCUCAUGCUGAUAUUCUGACGUGGAGCGGGGAACCUUCGGGAGAAUACUCGGUUUGAAGUGCCUACAAACUAUUACAAAUUUCUAGUCCUAGAGCUUAUGCUUUACAAACCGACUUCAAGGAUUUUUACAAAAAACUUUGGCUCCUAGAUCUACCUACCAAAAUUAAAGUUACAAUUCGGAAGAUCUCAUGGAACUAUUUGCCUACACGGGCUAACAUGGUAUACAGAAAACUAGUAAACAGUUCCGCAUGCCCCCGUUGUGGUGAAAGAGAAGAAACAAUAGACCACCUCUUCCACGAAUGUCCUGUAUCAGUGUCAGUUUGGAGAGCUUAUCAACCUCGAAUUUACCUCUUCCACGAAUGUCCUGUAUCAGUGUCAGCUUGGAGAGCUUAUCAACCUCGAAUUUUAUAUAGGACUCUAAUAUAGCAUUUGAACAGUGGCUUACCAGGGUUUUCGUUCAACAUCCUUCCAGUCACUGCAGAAUAUUUUGCUGUGCGCUAUGGGCCAUCUAGGGAGACAGAAAUGCUCGUAUUCAUAAAAAGACAAACAAAUCUGGUCAGGAGAUAGCAAAAUUUGUCCACAACUACAUAACAGAGUUAAGUGGUGUUGAAAAAAGAACAUCCAAAGGUUUAAAGGAGGAAAUAAAAUGGAAACGCCCACCUGGCCAAACAGUAAAAAUUAAUUUCAAUGGAGCCUACGACGAGAGGAAUCAUCAGUCGGCAUCUGGAAUAGUUGUCAGAGACAGUGAAGGGCUCAUCCUCCUAUCAUGCUCGGAGAUUCAUUAAAGAGUGUCCUCCGCCUUCGCUGCUGAAGCCCUUGCUUGCCGUAAAGCAACCUAGUUCGGAAUCGACAUGCAAUGGCCAGAAAUUUUCAUUGAGGGUGAUUCUUUAUCGAUAAUAAAGAAAUGCAAGGCUAAAGGGUAUGAUAAAUAGCAGAUAGGGGCUUAUAUACAUGGCAUUCAUCAGUUAAAGACUAGAUCCAAAAAUCUAAGGUUCGAAUAUAUCCCAAGAACAGCAAAUGUUUUAGCCCAUAUUUUAGCAACAGAAACUUUGAAGAGGAAGGAGGAGAUGUACCCGGUCGAGAGUGUCCCCAGAUAUGCCAAAAACCAAAUGGAAAAUGACAGCAUGAGAGAAUCGGAUUGAAGAAGAAAGGAGAUGGAGAGAAAGUAAGGAAGUUUCAAAAUGAACAAAUCAAAAGUCAUAAGGAAUAAAGCUUCCUUUGAAAACGGUAGCGCCAUUAAAAU
rnacentral:lncRNA from 1 species